ACAUUGCCUGUAGGUAGUUUAUUACAGGUUUGUCCUGCCCGGUGAAUUAAUUUUAAACGGCCGCGGUACUCUGACCGUGCAAAGGUAGCAUAAUCAUUUGCCCUUUAAUUUGGGGCUGGUAUGAAUGGGUGAACGAGGGGGAGGCUGUCUCUUUUUUAGGACUAAAAAUUAGCCUCUAGGUGAAGAUACCUGGAUAAAGAUAAAGGACAAGAAGACCCUAUUGAGCUUGAUUUUUAUAUUAAUAGGGAUUAAGUAAAGAAUUUGGUUGGGGCGACACAGGAAAGGCUAACACUUCCUUAGUACGGGAGGCAAACAUGCCUAAUAUGAUCCGACGUAUCGGCUAAAGAAUAAAGCUACCAUAGGGAUAACAGGCUAAUUCUUUUAGAGAGUUCAUAUUGACAAAAGAGUUUGGCACCUCGAUGUUGGCUUAGGAUAUCCCACUGGUGCAGAAGUCAGUAAUGGUAGGCUUGUUCAGCCUUUAAAAUCCUACGUG
rnacentral:rRNA from 1 species